rnacentral:rRNA from 1 species
GAUGAACGCUAGCGACAGGCCUAACACAUGCAAGUCGAGGGGUAACAGGGAGCUUGCUCCGCUGACGACCGGCGCACGGGUGAGUAACACGUAUGCAACCUACCUGUAAUUGGGGAAUAACCCGGCGAAAGUCGGACUAACACCGCAUAAUAAUGAAGAUUCGCAUGAAUUUUCAUUUAAAUAUUUAUAGAUUACAGAUGGGCAUGCGCAUGAUUAGAUAGUUGGUGAGGUAACGGCUCACCAAGUCAACGAUCAUUAGGGGUUCUGAGAGGAAGGUCCCCAAUUGGAACUGAGACACGGUCCAAAACUCCUACGGGAGGCAGCAGUGAGGAAUAUUGGUCAAUGGACGCAAGUCUGAACCAGCCAAGUCGCGUGAAGGAUGACUGCCCUAUGGGUGUAAACUUCUUUUAAAGGGAUAAAGUUCGCCACGUGUGGUGAUUUGUAUGUACUUUAUGAAUAAGGAUCGGCUAACUCCGUGCCAGCAGCCGCGGU